AUUUUCCGGUUGAUCCUGCCGGACCCUACUGCUAUCGGGGUGGGGCUAAGACAUGCGAGUCGAACGUUUCGCAGCCAUGAGUGAAACGUGGCAUACGGCUCAGUAACACGUGGCUAACCCACCCUCGGGACGGAGACAACCCCGGGAAACUGGGACCAAUCCCCGAUAGGCGAGGACUCCUGGAACGGGUCCUCACCCAAAGGGUGUUGGGAUCAUGCUUCUCAACGUCGCCCGAGGACGGGGCCGCGACCGAUCAGGUAGUUGGCGAGGCAAUGGCUCACCAAGCCUAUAACCGGUACGGGCCGUGGGAGCGGAAGCCCGGAGAUGGGCACUGAGACAAGGGCCCAGGCCCUACGGGGCGCAGCAGUCGCGCAAACUCUGCAAUGCACGAAAGUGUGACAGGGCUACCCCGAGUGCCGUCCGCUGAGGAUGGCUUUUCUCCACUGUAAGGAGGCGGAGGAAUAAGGAGAGGGCAAGUCUGGUGUCAGCCGCCGCGGUAAUACCAGCUCUCCGAGUGGUAGGGACGAUUAUUGGGCUUGAAGCGUCCGUAGCCGGCCUCUCAAGUCUUUCGUUAAAUCCAGCGAUUCAAUCGUUGGACUGCGGGAGAUACUGUUAGGCUAGGGGGCGGGAGAAGCCGACGGUAUUUUCGGGGUAGGGGUAAAAUCCUAUAAUCCCGGGAAGACCACCAGUGGCGUAGGCGGUCGGCUAGCACGCGCUCGACGGUGAGGGACGAAAGCUGGGGGAGCGAACCGGAUUAGAUACCCGGGUAGUCCCAGCUGUAAACGAUGCUGGCUAGGUGUUGGAGCGGCUACGAGCCGCUUCAGUGCCGCAGGGAAGCCAUUAAGCCAGCCGCCUGGGGAGUACGGCCGCAAGGCUGAAACUUAAAGGAAUUGGCGGGGGAGCACCACAAGGGGUGAAGCUUGCGGUUUAAUUGGAUUCAACGCCGGAAAU
rnacentral:rRNA from 1 species